UGUUGUCUUAUGUGGUUAUUAAAUUUGAUAGUGGAUUACAAAUGUCUUUGUUUCUUAAACUGUCACCGCUUCUGCAUCUCUGUGUAGGUGAUAGUGGAUUACACAUGGCUUAAUUUGUUAAACUUGGCUUAAUUUGUUAAACUCCUUUCUACGUGUUUCUUUUCGUUGUCGUUCGUUUUUGCCACUUCCACUUUUCCCACCGCUUACCUUCUGUGUCGCUCUUUUCUUUUAUUCUUCUCAGGAGGAUCGUCGGCUUUCUUUGCAGGUUUGUCCUCACGCAUCUUCCUCCGUUUCUGUUUAUUGGUGUUGUUUCUUUGCAAAAUUUUACUUUCCAUUGUAUAUGUUUAUGUUUCAAAUUGUAAAAUGCCAAAGCGGAACUCUGUUUAUCAUACCCACUGUACGGUGUAUACGUGUUUUCCUCCAUGGCUUCUGCUUCGUUUGUGUCAUGCUCUCUUCAAUACUAUGGUGUCCUCCACCAUUUCGUUCCCCGAUUAAAUUACUCCACCACACCACCACCGACUCCAACACCGUUAACUACCCACCGAUUGCCUCAUAUCCACUGCCAUAGAUUUCUCAAGCGGCUUCUCCCUUUUUUCUUCCUUUUACUUGCGCUUCCGUCGCAUUUCGGAGUAGCCACCGGGGUUACCAUCGAUCCAUCGCCUCCAUCUACUACAACUUCCACUUCGUAAAAUAACCGUCGGAUGAGUUGGUGCUGUUCUAAUCAUCUCCAUCGAUACUGAUAGGUAAUCGACAGAGAAUCUCUAGCUGUUUCUUCGUUUUUCUUCAUUAAUUGCUAAAAAAAACCUCAAAUUUGGGGUGGAUAGGAUGGGCGGUGGAAGCGGUGAUGGUGUGGUGACCGAUGGUAUUGAAUCAACCAAGGCUGGAGGUGUAAGUUCCCAUAAUUGAACUCUUAUUUGUUCUGUUUUUUCUCAUUAUCGAUUGUGAUAAACCCAUCAGAGAAGACAAAUGUACUGUUGUGAGGUUGGAAUAUGCGUAGCAAAUUAGGAACAUAAUUUAGGGAUUUGUGUUGUUUUGAUAUUAUCACGAUUUGAAGACGUAUCUUGGAAACAAUGGAAAUUUCGUAGUUAUGCUUAGAUGCUAUUUAUCUAUUAUUGAUGAACAUUGUUUUAUUUGGAGAACAUGUUCAAAUAUGUUUACUUCUUGUGCAAGUGUCUUACAUGCUCUGACUUAGGAUUUUCACAGAUUCAGUUCAACUUUGUUGUGAGUGAGUGGAUGUUUGUUUGGUUUAGCUUGAUCGCUGUCUAAUUUUGAAAUCUAUGUUAAAUAUACACAUGGAGGUGCAUCAGAAGCAGAUAUUAGAGUCCUUCCUAAAUACAGAUAUGUACAUAAUGAAGAUCCACUUGAUGUUGGGGGUAGAAUGGUCCCUUUUGAAACAAAUGAUCCGGAUUUCUCCUGUGAACAUGUUCUUCGAUUCUAAGAUGCGGUAAGUUUAUUCCCAACUAUAGACCUAAUUGUUUGGAUGUUUUUUGUAAGCCUGUUUGGUUCCCGAAUUCUGAUAGAAUCUAACAGCAUUAGAAUUUGAGAUUCCAUUCUCUAUGUUGUUUGGCUGCCAAAUGUUUUUAGGUGAGAAGUCGAGCCAUGACUUUGGAGAGUUAUAUAAGAUCAAGUAAAGAUAUACUGAAACAUGCUUCAAAGCUUCUUAAGGCUGAACUUCCUCUAUCACUUAGAUUAAUUGGUAAUGUUUAUUGGGUGAAAAUUAAAUAAUAAUAUUUAUUAACAAUAAUCUAAAUUCAGAAAUAAAAUGCUUUUGAUUUUGUGUGGUGUCUGACAAGGAAGUUGAUGGAAGCAUGGCAAAUGCCAACCAUGUGAAUGUUGAUGAUGAUAGUCAAUCUGAUUCAGAACCAGUGGUUGAGUGGUUGUAUACUGCCCCAAUUUAGAAAUCAGUAAUUCCUAAAUUCUAAUUUGAUACUGUGGAAAUUCUUGAUGUACAUGCUAAUGGCAGUGUAUCUGUUGCUUUAUUGGUCAAAUUCAAAGGGUUUGUAAGUGUUUUUAAGAAAACAGCUUCCGGAGGAUUAAAUGACCGAAAAAUCCUUGGAAAUGAAGCUUUAAGAUUCUCUCAUCGAAUCCCAUCAAAAAAACUGACUGGAGCAGAAAGAGUUGGUGUACCACUUGGAUCUUUUGAGCUUAAUACAGCUUCUUUACCAGAUGAUCUUCAAGACUAUGAUUAUUCUGUCAAUCCUGCAGUGCUUAAAAGAUGGUUUCAUCAGUUUCCAAAAAUGCAGUAAGAUGAAGUUAUAAGCAUACCUGCACAUGGUAAUAACGUCUGAAAUGGAAUAAAAUUUUCUUUUAGGAAGUUUUAUGAAGUUAUUCUUAAAUUGUUUUGUUAGAAUUUUUAAACACAUUGAUAACUUUUACAUGUUACAAAAUUAGCAUUGGGAAGAAUUUAAGCUUUAAAGACAUUUGUGCCAUCCAUUUUAGAUAUUUUAGUUAUAGAUUUUAAGCAAAAUACAUACAAGAAUCCAUUUAUUGUUCUUCAGAUCAAAUACGAGAUGAGGCCACAUGUGUCAUUUGCCUU